rnacentral:lncRNA from 1 species
CAAAAAAAAAAAAAAAAGAGUCUGGAUGCAGUGGCUCACGCCCGUUAUCCCAGCCCUUUGGGAGGCCAAGGUGGUUGGAUCACCUGAGGGCGGGAGUUCGAGACUAGCCUGACCAACAUGGAGAAACCCCAUCUCUACUAAAAAUACAAAAAAUUAGCCGGGCGUGGCGGUGCAUUCUUGUAAUCCCAGCUACUCAGAGGCUGAGGUAGGAGAAUUGUUUGAACCCGAGAGGCGGAGGUUGCGGUGAGCCAAGAUCACGCCAUUGCACUCUAGCCUGCGCAACAAGAGCAAAAGUCCAUCUCAAGAAAAAAAAAAAAGAAAAGAAAAGAAAAAUUCUAGAUUUACAGAACCCACUCGGCCGUCCUGUCAUUGGUAAUGUGUCAGCCUCUCCACACACACCAGCAUCUGCCUGGCGGGGGUGAGUCAUACUCAUCUCGGGUAUCCAGGAGCCUCCCACUCAGAGCACUUGCUCCAUGAAUGAAUGCAGAGGCUCAUGAGAAGAGGAGUGUAGUGAGGAUAGACUUGUGCUUGCCUGGCAUUUCUGGGGCCCAGGCCUCCCCAUUCUGUGCCCAUGUGGCUCUAGAAAGGCCAAAGCCACCUCCUCUACAGAGCUGGGCACACUAGCCAGCAUCGCUGGCCAAAGCUAGCCCAGGCCUUCCCAGAGCAAUGAGGAAAAAAGACCCAGCACUUUCUUCCCAGGGGGUUCUGAAGUCAAGGGUGUGAGUCUGGUAGUGAUCCUGCCCAAGGAUGAAGUCAACUCUGCAGAGCAGUGCUGAGAAAUGGAAAGAGGAAGAUUCCAGACAGGAAGGGUGGAGUGCCUGGAUCCAGCCAUGCCUGGGGCCUCAGAUCACCCUCCAACUUUGAGGCUUGUAUAAGAAAGCUGAGAUUACCUUUACUCGUAUCAACCAAAAUGGAAGCAUCCCAGCUUCUAUCAGCAGGAGAAUGGCAAACAAAUGUGGGACAAUGUGGAUGAAUGUCAAAAACAGGAGGUGAGUGAAAGACGCUAGACACAGAAGUAGAUGCUAUGUGACUUCAUGUAAAAUGCUAGAACAGGCAAAAUAGGUCUACAUUUAAAAAAUAAAAACUGGGGUGGGGCGCGAUGGCUCAUGCCUGUAAUCCCAGCACUUUGGGAGGUGAGCAGAUCACCUGAGAUCAGGAGUUCGAGAUCAGCCUGGCCAAAAUGGUGAAACCCCAUCUCUACUAAAAUUAGUAGGGCGUGGUAGUGCGUGCCUGUAAUCCCAGCUACUUGGGAGGCUAAGGCAGGAGAACUGCUUGAACCCGGGAGGCGGAGGUUGCAGUGGACUGAGAUUGCGCCAUCGUACUCUAGCCUGGGUGACAGAGUGAGACUCCAUCUAAAAAAACAAAAAACCAAAAAAAAAAAGAAAAAACAGCCCAGGCAUGGUAGCUCACGCCU